UGAGUCUGCACACUGACUGGAGGUGU
rnacentral:piRNA from 1 species